UACGUAGGGUCCGAGCGUUGUCCGGAAUUACUGGGCGUAAAGAGCUCGUAGGCGGUUUGUCGCGUCGUUCGUGAAAACUCACAGCUCAACUGUGGGCGUGCGGGCGAUACGGGCAGACUUGAGUACUGCAGGGGAGACUGGAAUUCCUGGUGUAGCGGUGGAAUGCGCAGAUAUCAGGAGGAACACCGGUGGCGAAGGCAGGUCUCUGGGCCACUACUGACGCUGAGAAGCGACAGCAUGGGGAGCGAACAGG
rnacentral:rRNA from 1 species